UGAGAUGUAGCUCAAUUGGUGGAGUGUUUACCUUGCAUGGGCAAGGUCCUGGGUUUGAUCCCCAGCACCACAA
rnacentral:tRNA from 1 species